GACGAACGCUGGCGGCGUGCUUAACACAUGCAAGUCGAACGGAAAGGCCCUGCUUGCAGGGUACUCGAGUGGCGAACGGGUGAGUAACACGUGGGUGAUCUGCCCUGCACUUCGGGAUAAGCCUGGGAAACUGGGUCUAAUACCGGAUAGGAGCCAUUUUUAGUGUGAUGGUUGGAAAGUUUUUUCGGUGUAGGAUGAGCUCGCGGCCUAUCAGCUUGUUGGUGGGGUAAUGGCCUACCAAGGCGGCGACGGGUAGCCGGCCUGAGAGGGUGGACGGCCACAUUGGGACUGAGAUACGGCCCAGACUCCUACGGGAGGCAGCAGUGGGGAAUAUUGCACAAUGGGCGCAAGCCUGAUGCAGCGACGCCGCGUGGGAGAUGACGGCCUUCGGGUUGUAAACUCCUUUCGCUAGGGACGAAGCUUUUUGUGACGGUACCUAGAUAAGAAGCACCGGCUAACUACGUG
rnacentral:rRNA from 1 species